AGCCCGCGGAGCCUCCCGCCCGCCCGGGCUGGGGUCGCGCUGGCUCGGACUCCGCUCCCCGCCCCGCCGCGGCCAUGGAGGACGAGCGGAAAAACGGAGCCUACGGAACGCCACAGAAGUAUGAUCCCACUUUCAAAGGACCCAUUUACAACAGGAACAAACCCUAUCUGUUUUAUUUCAACAUUGUGAAAUGUGCCAGCCCCCUGGUUCUGCUGGAAUUCCAAUGUCCCACUCCCCAGAUCUGCGUGGAAAAAUGCCCCAACCGCUACCUCACGUACCUGAAUGCUCGCAGCUCCCGGGACUUUGAGUACUAUAAGCAGUUCUGUGUUCCUGGCUUCAAGAACAAUAAAGGAGUGGCUGAGGUGCUUCGAGAUGGUGACUGCCCUGCUGUCCUCAUCCCCAGCAAACCCUUGGCCCGGAGAUGCUUCCCCGCUAUCCACGCCUACAAGGGUGUCCUGAUGGUGGGCAAUGAGACAACCUAUGAGGAUGGGCAUGGCGCCCGGAAAAACAUCACAGACCUGGUGGAGGGCGCUAAGAAAGCCAAUGGAGUCCUAGAGGCACGGCAACUCGCCAUGCGCAUAUUUGAAGAUUACACCGUCUCUUGGUACUGGAUUAUCAUAGGCCUGGUCAUUGCCAUGGCGAUGAGCCUCCUGUUCAUCAUCCUGCUCCGCUUCCUGGCUGGUAUUAUGGUCUGGGUGAUGAUCAUCAUGGUGAUUCUGGUGCUGGGCUACGGAAUAUUUCACUGCUACAUGGAGUACUCCCGACUGCGUGGUGAGGCCGGCUCUGAUGUGUCUUUGGUGGACCUCGGCUUUCAGACGGAUUUCCGGGUGUACCUGCACUUACGGCAGACCUGGUUGGCCUUUAUGAUCAUUCUGAGUAUCCUUGAAGUCAUUAUCAUCUUGCUGCUCAUCUUUCUCCGGAAGAGAAUUCUCAUCGCGAUUGCACUCAUCAAAGAAGCCAGGCUGUGGGAUACGUCAUGUGCUCCAUGCUCUACCCACUGGUCACUUUCUUCUUGCUGUGCCUCUGCAUCGCCUACUGGGCCAGCACUGCUGUGUAUCUGCCCCCAGACACUGAUCUCUGACCCCAGGGAUGGCUAAAGACCAACUUUGCCUAGAAGUGACCUGCAGCUUAGGGACAGGGCUGGAAACUGGUGGGAGAAUGGAUUCUUGCCCAUAAAAGUCCCUGGGGUCCUCAGUCCUAGACCUCUGCUUCCUUAACGAACCUCCAGCUUCCUGUCCACUUCCAACGAAGCGGUCUAUAAGAUCUUUGAUGACGGCCUCUGCCCAUUUACUGCGAAAACCUGCAACCCAGAGACCUUCCCCUCCUCCAAUGAGUCCCGCCAAUGCCCCAACGCCCGUUGCCAGUUCGCCUUCUACGGUGGUGAGUCGGGCUACCACCGGGCCCUACUGGGCCUGCAGAUCUUCAAUGCCUUCAUGUUCUUCUGGUUGGCCAACUUCGUGCUGGCGCUGGGCCAGGUCACGCUGGCU
rnacentral:sRNA from 1 species